AAGAUUAUACGUACAUGUCAAUAAUUUCUGUUUUGCACUUGUAUGUUUUGAAAUAAACCUCUAGGUGCACCUUUCGAUUCUUCUACGUCAUAUAGUUGUGUAAAAUGAAAUUUUGAAAGUGAAUUAGAUCUUUUCCUAUGUAGGGUGAAUUUGGUAUAGUAUAAGCAAAAUCUAAAAGUUAAUUAAGAAGAUGAGGAACCAAAAUACCUACGUUGGCCACCCUUUGUUUUCCUCGCAUUACUGAGGUAACAACAUGUUGGUUUCAAGGGUGCUAGCAAAAGUGUUGCUUGUUCUCCGUCUGCCGAAGUUGGGGAAAUGUGAUAUAGAUGCAGCUUUUCAAGAGUAAUAUGCCUCAUUGUGUCGAGGUAAUUUGGUUGGCAAAACUUUUCUAUUUUAUGCCUUUUAGGGUUAAUGGAGUCCAAAUGGAAUAACAAGAACUAUUGACAAAAAAAAAAGAAUACUUUAGUUGUCCCAAAGGGAGUAUAUUGCUAUAAAAGCAUUGGAGGCAUAUACGUGAGAUACUUUCUUACUGCAUCAGUUAAUUCUCUCUAUGAGAUCUUAUUAAAUGUAUUGUGAAUGGUUCUUAGAGGCCAAAAUAGUUGUCAAACUCAUCAAGAAAAAACAUGGAUAUGUCCUCUGAGAAAUUCUUUAUAGUUGGGAAAAUGUUAAUUUUAUUUUUUUCUUGGACCCUCAUCUAUUCAAGUAAGUUUCUGAUUUUCUUACAAGGGAAAUAUACAGGAAGUCUGAUUCUCCUAGCCUAAUAGAUUAAAAUAAUUUGGUGAAAUGUUCUUCUCCUCAACUUGUGCAACAGCCCCUGUCUCAACUAGAAUAAAUUGAUGUAAGCAAAGAAUUGGAAGGUGGAAAAAGUAAGAAGGUUUGUUAUUCAGUAUUGAUGAAAGCAGUAGCUAAUUUUCAUCAGUUUACUUGUUUAUCUUAAAUAUUUACUCUCUUCAACUUGAAAGGCUAAUAUACAGGAAUAUAUUCUUCUCAACUUGUGCAACAGCCUCUGUCUCAACUUAUUUAUCUUAAAUAUUUACUCAGCUAUAGUGCUCAAGACGUAAAAUUACUUUCUGGUGAUGUUCUGUUUCAGCCUUUCAGGUACCAAACGAUCAUUUCAUUGCUUCUAUUCCCUCAGUUAAGUUCUUGGUUAGUUAAAAAGACGAUGGUAUAUUGAAAAUUCAGAGACAGAAGUUCAAGUGCGAGCAGUGUUGACCGGCUUAUGCCAUAUUCAAAGAUUUCAAAAUAGGGAAGUGUAAUCCACCGGAACUUACUUUGUUCUCCUGAUAUGGUUCAUUCACCUUUUCCUCGGAGUUAAGAUCUAAAAUUCUCCGACUGAUAAAAAGAACAACUAAUAUUCUCCUUAAGAAAGUUGAAUCAGAACAGAAUUAGUAUAAAGGAAUGAAAAAGAGUUUUCCUUUUCUUUACCUAAAAGAAAAAAAAGAUUGUUUUUCUUUUCAGAAUGAAACGAAAAACAACUUCCAAAGCAGAUAUUUUCAUUAGGCAUCAACCUAGAUAUAUAUUCAGAAAGCUCUUCCAUUUAUUCGCACCUGUAAACCAACUCAUCAGAGUCCAAAAUAAUUUGUGUAAGAAACAAGAUACUCUGAUAAUGUCAUUUGCUUAGCAUAUCCAGCAGCUUCGAACAAAUUGUGUCAUGAUCAUCAAC